GAAGGCCAUUAAGACCAAUGCCCGUUGGUUAUGGGCCUAGAGCAGAGAAACGUCUCGCAAAGCAUGAUGGGAGGAAAGAACCACCACUAAGGAUGCUUGGUUCCCAUGGUAACGGCCGGAGCCAGGGUAAAGAAAGGAAGGCCCAAAGAGGUCAACACAAAUUUUCAUGAAAACGAUCUCCCUCUGGUGAGCAGAAUUCUAUGGAGAAUUAAAUAAUUUCAUGGCAGCAGGCGAGCAUUAACAUUAAGCCCAGAUCUUCAGGCAGAAUGGGGGGACACGGAACAUAAUAGAUGGAAUAUAAUAAAUUUCAGCUGCAAGGAGAAUGACAUGGCAGGUGCUCGCUGCCUAAAUUAAGGCAACAUUUCACUUUGUUUUUACUGUGGAUCUGUCACAUCAAAGGACAAUGAUACAGUUUGGUUCACAACAACCAGAAAACCUAUUGUUAUUGAUCCCUGGCUGAUCAUCAUUGCUGCUUAUGAAAAGCUUCCACAAAACGGAGUUCUACAUAUGAAAAGAGCAGUGAUGCUCAGUACCCCAACGAGCAUGUGCGGUCCUGAAAAUCUGGAACUUUUCCUGAUGCAAUAAAAUGAACAUUGUCUGAGUGCAGAAUGACAACUGCUGGCAAAGAGGAAGAACGGAUUCAACAGUGUGCUCAAGUCUCCAAACAAGCUGGAAGACUGUGAAAUUAAGAUGCAACUUACCGCAGUAUUUCAGACACUUUACUUGCAGAAACAUCUGCCCAUUUUUUUUAAAAAAACAACUGUAACAAUAUAGAAAACAGCCUCCAAAUGAUCUUCUGCUAAAUUUAUGAAGGAA